CAGCCGCCACGGUAAUACGGAGGGGGCUAGCGUUGUUCGGAAUUACUGGGCGUAAAGCGCACGUAGGCGGGUCGUUUAGUCAGAGGUGAAAUCCCGGGGCUCAACCUCGGAACUGCCUUUGAUACUGGCGACCUUGAGUAUGGGAGAGGUAAGCGGAACUCCGAGUGUAGAGGUGAAAUUCGUAGAUAUUCGGAAGAACACCAGUGGCGAAGGCGGCUUACUGGCCCAUUACUGACGCUGAGGCUCGAAAGCGUGGGGAGCAAACAGGAUUAGAUACCCCCGUAGUCCCUGUCUCUUAUAC
rnacentral:rRNA from 1 species